rnacentral:tRNA from 1 species
GCCUGGGUGGCUCAGUUGGUUAAGCAUCUGACUUUGCCUCAGGUCGUGAUCUCGGGUUUGCGAGUUCGAGCCCCGCAUCGGGCU